AUACUUAUCUGGUAGGGGAGAUACCGUGAUCACAAAGGUGGCUUUCCCAGGGCGAGGCUUAUAUACUGCUCUGCAGAUGUGCUGACCCCUGUGACCCCCCCAGAUGUGGGAGACUCGACAGCGUAAUUUGUGGUAGUGGGGGACUAUGUUCCCAUUUUCCAGCU